CUCUAUAAAUAGGACCUAGCACCAAGCAUUUUUCAUUCAUCAAGCUAAGUUCAGAGGCUGCAAGUUGCUAGGUUAUUGUGAGAGUGUAAACACUUGGGUUGGGGAUUAUAAGCUUGAUCAUCAUAAGCUUAUCAAACACUUUGGGAAGUGAGGUUCGUUAGUAUCUCGGUUGUGGUUAGAUUGGUCUUUCAAGUCUUUGAGGAAAUCUAAGCUCUUGAGCACAUAAGUUUUGGAGUGUUCCAAAAAGUCCCAACUCAGUCCACAUAUCCCGGUAACUUUGGAAAAUAAGCUUUAGAGGCGGUAAGAUUCGUGACGCUUAGAGGAUGUGUAUC